GAUGCAAAAACCAAGGGAAGACGUUGCCUUUGCUCAUGUUUGUCAAAGCAGACCAUGUAGUCCACUAAAAAUGAAUUGAAAGUCAUCCCAGGCUUUGAUUCCCUUUGCUUUGGCAGCUUCUUCGACUUUUAGGCUUCUUUGUCUUUGGCUUUCAACAGCCCCAACACAGGAGGCUUCUUGACUCACAUCAUUUGAGAGGGCCAUCAUACUGCCCAUUAAGGUGCUGGUUUUGCUUUGUCUCAGUUGCUUCAUGUUUUGCCAGCAACAAAGUGAGAAGUUUUUUUCUACAGAGGAGUGCUGGCUUAAUAAUUUUCUUGGGCUGUCUGGCUGGGGAUUUUUUCUUUGUUGGCAAACUUUGAAGCACAGAACGUGGGUGUGAAUCAUCAGCUUUUCACGUUUUGCUACCUGUUCUCUCUCCAAUCUGCAGACUUGGAAUUUUGCUCUGCUGAAGGCAUGGAUGCAAAUGGUCAAUUAUACGUCCAACGAGUGCUCGAUAAGAAAGGGCUUCCAAUUGGUCAAGAAUAUGAUAGGUCUAUGCCUUUGAACUCAGUUCAAAUUGAUGUACCUCCUGAGGAUAGAGUCACUUGGUUUACCACUGAGAAUGUGAACUCUGGAUAUUGCGAGUUUAUUCCUGAUGAUGGAAUUCUUAAAGUUUGUCGAGUUCACGGUUCAAAGUUUGAAGCCUGCACUUUGAUGGAGGUCAACAAUAAUACCGAUGGUGACACUGAAGUUGGCCAUAAAAAUGAUUUUCCUCCUAUUUUAUGUAAAAUGCUCAAGAGCAAAACAGAUUGGGGGCGUGA